GCAAUCUUUUCAUCUGCAUAAUGAUUGUCUUGUUUGAUUUCCAAAAAGCUUUUCAUAUCAAAAUCAUUAUGCAGGUUGAUUCUUAAACCCAUUGAACAUAAUGAUCCGACGUCAUCUCCCAAUUUUGAAUUCCCUGUAUUCGAAACGGAAGAAGAUGAUGUUGAAGGGAUUCCUGACGAGAUUUCCCGACUUGAGCAAGAAAAGAAGAUCACUCAGCUGCAUCUCGAGAAUC
rnacentral:lncRNA from 1 species